GGGCAUUUUGUAUAUUUGAUAUGUUCCACUAUGAUCAAACACCCCUAAUUAUACUCAGCUAAGUCUUCUGAGUAAAACAAUACCCCCAAUGUAUGUCUUUUACUCUAUUUGGUGUCACUACAGUGCCAUAAAGGAGACCUGACCAUUUCAGUUUUUAGAGUAGAAUUUUGAGAGACGGAUUUGCAGGGCUUAUGUUUCAGUUUGGGCCAUUAUAGCAGUUUGACUGUUUCAAAAACCGCAAAAAGGCCUACCAUUUGUGAAAGUAGACAUUCCAGAGUAUCUCACAUGGCAUAUAUUGUGCCUUAACAUGUCCCCAUUUUUUCACCAUGAUAUGUCAAAGGUUGUGGUAAAAAAAUAUUUUUUGCAUUUUUAAUUUAUGCGUUACAUUUGUGCUGGGCAUUUUGUAUAUUUG